AUUGAACGCUGGCGGCAGGCCUAACACAUGCGAGUCGAGCGGAUGAAGGGAGCUUGCUCCUGGAUUCAGCGGCGGACGGGUGAGUAAUGCCUAGGAAUCUGCCUGGUAGUGGGGGAUAACGUCCGGAAACGGGCGCUAAUACCGCAUACGUCCUGAGGGAGAAAGUGGGGGAUCUUCGGACCUCACGCUAUCAGAUGAGCCUAGGUCGGAUUAGCUAGUUGGUGGGGUAAAGGCCUACCAAGGCGACGAUCCGUAACUGGUCUGAGAGGAUGAUCAGUCACACUGGAACUGAGACACGGUCCAGACUCCUACGGGAGGCAGCAGUGAGGAAUAUUGGACAAUGGGCGAAAGCCUGAUCCAGCCAUGCCGCGUGUGUGAAGAAGGUCUUCGGAUUGUAAAGCACUUUAAGUUGGGAGGAAGGGCAGUAAGUUAAUACCUUGCUGUUUUGACGUUACCAACAGAAUAAGCACCGGCUAACUUCGUG
rnacentral:rRNA from 1 species